UCCUACGGGAGGCAGCAGGAGGGAAUCUUGCGCAAUGGGCGAAAGCCUGACGCAGCGACGCCGCGUGGGGGAUGAAUGCCUUAGGGUUGUAAACCCCUUUCACGAGGGAAGAAACUGACGGUACCUCGAGAAGAAGCCCCGGCCAACUACGUGCCAGCAGCCGCGGUAAUACGUAGGGGGCGAGCGUUGUCCGGAUUUAUUGGGCGUAAAGGGCUCGUAGGCGGCUUGGCAAGUCGGCCGUGAAAACCCAGGGCUCAACUCUGGGACGCCGGUCGAUACUGCCAUGGCUAGGGUCCGGUAGAGGGGAAUGGAAUUCCCGGUGUAGCGGUGAAAUGCGCAGAUAUCGGGAGGAACACCAGUAGCGAAGGCGGUUCCCUGGGCCGGCACCGACGCUGAGGAGCGAAAGCGUGGGUAGCGAACGGGAUUAGAAACCCCGGUAGUCCACGCCGUAAACGAUGUACAUUAGGCGUUCGGCAACGAUGGUUGUUGAGUGUCGCAGCAAACGCGAUAAAUGUACCGCCUGGGGAGUACGGUCGCAAGGCUAAAACUCAAAGGAAUUGACGGGGA
rnacentral:rRNA from 1 species